GGAACAAGUUGUCUACUAUAUCCAGCCAAGCCUUUACUGCAUACAUGUGCACAUUUUUAGUUGAUGCAUCUAAAAGAUAUAGUUUUGAUUCGGUGUUUCUUUGUUUUCUUUUUAUUCAAAUGAUUUUAAAAUGUGAUAAUGUACACAACAAUAAUUAGUACCUAGUUUAGAGGAUUUUUUCGCGCUUGUUUGUAAACAACGCGCGGCAUUGUGGGAAAUAGGAAGGUACUAAAGACGCGAUGUACUAAACACUGAUUUGACCUGAUUCAAAUUUGUCUGUAAAUGUUCCAAACAGUUGAAUUUUUGUAUAGCAUAUGCCUCGAAGUCAUAAAGUCUGUACAUAAGUAAUUUAAAAUACUCAAUAUUACCAUUUAAUUAAAAUUAAAACGUCAGGUAAAUAUCAGGUCUCUAGUAUAUCCCGUUUUUAGUGUGCCCCUUCGAGUCGACGUCGGACACAUGUUUGUCAUGGUUUACAAACUGAAAAUAGAAUGAUUUGUGAAGUUGAACAUUUUCUCACAAAGAAUCCGUUUGUAGACAUGCACACUCAUUUAAUCUGGAGCUACGAAUCAUUUCAUGGUGCCACCACUUGGGAUGGUAUUAGCUGCAAAUAUAGACUUGUACUCAGCACUUAUUGCCUUUAAGAAGUAUGAGAUCCAUUUUGUGCUAACACCUACCGUGACACAGAAUCUUGGUUUAUGCAGUCUCAUAGGAGUAACCUGUCUAAAGCAUUUAGCAAAUGAAAUUGGAACCUGCGACGUGUAACUCAUCUGAAUACUGAAUUUUGAUACCAAGCAUGACCAUGAUUUGCCAGAAGAUCAUCUGUUUGGAUGUGACAUGGAAUAAACAGCAUAGUGAAAAUAAGUCAAGUUUUGGUUUGUGAAGACAAUUUUUAAACACACUGUGUAUCAUUUUUAAAUUUUGAUUUGACAACAUAAAUCCACAAAUAUGAACAUAUCAAUUGCUCUCAGUUUUUUUCAAGUGAAAUAGUUCUUGUAACAGAAAUACAUGUACCAGUAAUUACAUUGGAAUAAAUGUUAUUUCUAAAUAUAAUAAUAUUUUGUUUGUGUAGCAUGUUGACCUCUUUAUUAAGGUCUUCCCUUUCAAAGUUUAGACUUACUUAUUCUAAUGAUUAAGAUAGAUCCUCUGUCUUCAGCAGGAAUAUAAGAUCUUGUAAUACAUGUAUGUGUAUUUUUUACAGUAUAAUGUAAAAAAAAAAUUGUUGUUUUGGCACAUACAACUAAUUAAAGGCAUAAACAUGUGUAUGAUUCCAAGGAAUUCAGUACAUAGGGCAUGUACAUGUAGUUUUCUAAAACAAGAUUGAAGAUAUGUCCAGUCGCAUUUCAAUGUCAACUCCAAAACUGUGCCUGUUGCAUACUUAUUAGCCCAUCUGAGCUAAAGGAACCAGUAAAUUUUUUAAAAACAUAAUUUUAUCCAUUAUCAUCAUUGUCUAAAAUUUCACAAUAUCAUUUUCCAGAACCAAAGUGAAAAUUGGCACAGAGCAUCCUUAGUGUAGGGGAUUCAAAUUGUUCUUAUGCAGGGCAAUACCUUCAAAGAGAUUUGUUUCUUUAAUGCUGUAAAUGUAUUAUAUUUAGCUUGUACAAUAUUUGGUGGAAAUUGACUUUUGAAUAAGUUAGCCUAGAUAUUCUUAUUUAUGUUUAUGUACAAGACUUUUAGCUUUGUACUUGAUUUAGUGAUUGCUGCAUUCCGCCAAAGCCGCUAAAAAAGAAUACACAGACAUAUGUAAAAUGUUCAUAAUAUACCUUUCAGAGAAUUUUACACUCCUAUUGAGGUACCACCAGUUGCUAGUGGAAAGCUUCAAAUUCGAAACAUACACAACACAUUUCUGUGCGUUUAUUAUAAAAGUAUUGUUCUACUUACUGAUUGCAACUAAUGAAGAUUGUUCAUCAUUAUUGUAAAUACAUUUGGAUUUUUUGAAUUAUUAUAUAAUUUGUUUAUUUUAUUUACCUAGUUAUAUUGUAUAUUAAAUGAUUUUAAAGCCAUUUUUAAGAUGGUAAUGUAGCAAAACACUUAUGUUUCUGUAGUAUGACACGUUUCACAAACAUAAUUGCAACAAACAUGAUAUAUCCGAUAUCAAAAGUCAUAAAAUUGGAAGUUAAACUGUUGUGGAUACGAUUUCAAGAAUGCUGUUAGAGAGAGUACCCUUUAGACCUCAUGCUCACACCAAAUUAAAGAAUUCAAGUAAGGGUUUUUGAGACAAAUCGAAAAAGAGAAUGUUAGCAAAGUUGACAAUCUAGACAGAAACAUUGAAUCUUUUGCUUAUCGCUAGGAAGGAAGACCCACUCGUUGCUUUGCAACGAGCUUUG